GUUAUAGAGAAAGACUUUUGGAGCAGAAACUAGCUAUGAAGAAGAAGAGGAUUAUCAGGACUAUCCCGACACAUAGAUGGUUCCUAGUUCAGUUUUUGUAAGGCUGGAUAGCCUACCUUUUGGGACUACCCUGUUGUAGUUCAUUAGCCUAACUUAAGACAGUACUUAUAAUUCUCCAGUUAUAUGUAGAUAUUUAGCUUGUAUAAUUAUCUAGCCCUGUGAGGCAUGACUGGUAUUAUUGUUUGUAUAAUUAUGCUGACUGGCUUAUUAUAUAUUUUUAGGUAUUUCAGUAGUAGCUCUGAGGUGUCAACCUAUUCUCAAUUUAUAUUACAUUUAUUCCGUUGCCAAUAA